rnacentral:rRNA from 1 species
CAUGUCCUUUCGACAAUAAUUUAAGGUCUAAUCUGCUCAAUGAAAUUUUAAAUUGCCGCAGUAUUUUGACUGUGCAAAGGUAGCAUAAUAAUUAGUUUCUUAAUUAGAAGCUGGAAUGAAUGAUUGGACAAGAAAAUUUCUGUCUCUUUUUCAGUUGUUUUUGAAUUUUAUUUUUAAGUUAAAAAGCUUAAAUUUUUAUAAAAGACGAGAAGACCCUAUAGAGUUUAAUAUUAUUAUCUAAUUUAAUGAUAGAAUAAUUUUUUUGAUAAUUUUAUUUGGUUGGGGUGAUUGGAAGAUAUAAUAAAUUCUUCAAAUUUUUAAUUAGUGAUUUCUAAAUAUAAAAUCUAUGUUAAUAAAAUUAAAAUAAAUUACCUUAGGGAUAACAGCGUUAUUUUUCUUGAAAGUUCUUAUUUAAAGAAAAGUUUGCGACCUCGAUGUUGGAUUAAAAUUAAUUUUUGGUGCAAUAACUUAAAAAUUAGGUCUGUUCGACCUUUAAAAUUUUACAUGAUCUGAGUUUAAACCGGUGUAAACCAGGUUGGAUUCUAUCUUUAGAGUAUAAUUAUAUUUUAGUACGAAAGGACCAAAUAUAAAUUUUAAAAAUUG